UGGCGGCCUUAGCGCGGUGGUCCCACCUGACCCCAUGCCGAACUCAGAAGUGAAACGCCGUAGCGCCGAUGGUAGGGAACUGCCAGGCAUCAAAUU
rnacentral:rRNA from 1 species